AGGCACACACACACACACAUAAAUAAUGUAAUAAUAAAUGCAAAAAACCAUAUUUCAGAUAAAACACAUGAUGAUAAACCAGAGGAAGCCACUGAAGGGCACUAUUUGGGGAAAGAGAAAACGAGCUGGAAUGGGGGAAGGGUACCUAGGAGAGGUGGAGGAGAAGACUGAAUGAAAAUAAAGAUUAAUGACCCAUGUAGAUGGUGCAUGCAUAUAAUCCUAGCAGAGGCAGGCAAAUCUUUGCAUUCCAGGCCAGCCUGGUCUACAGAAUGAGUUCAGGACAGCCAGAGCUAUACAAAGAAACCAUGUCUCCCAAAACCAAAUGACAACAACAACAAAAAAAGGCCAUGAUGGAAUCCAUCACUUUACGUGUUAACCUUAGGAUGUAAUCUUAAAAGAAAUGGUGUAGGAAAUGAUUUUACUUCAUGUUCUACAGGCAAAUAUUUUCUGGUCCAGCAUACCUCUCCCUCCCAGCCUCCUACUGUUGGAGUUUCUUGUCCACUUCUGUCUCUCCCGAGCUCUUAAAAAUCUUUUUUCCCUUUCUCUAAACCACCCUGUAAGCGAUCUACCUCCACACUCCACCAUCACUACCAUCUGACUUAUCUGUUAAGACAACCAAGGUGACGGGGGCCACUGCCCAAGGUCAGCCAUUGUGCAUACAGAACCUGCUGCCUCCGCUGGCUGUGACCGCUGCUCGGUUACCCUGAGCAUCAUGUAUACCCAGAUCAGGUUACUCCUGACACCAUCCCUGAGCAGAUGUCUAUCUUUUCCUGAUCUAGUUAUCCCCACCACCUCCUCCUUUGUUCUGGGAAAAUGGAUGCUUCCUCUACGCAGAUCCUUCCCUGGCUAUCUGUUGGGACUCACAAAGCAGGGAAUGUUCUUCCUCUGGCAUGUCUCGCCCGAGCUAGUAUCUCACCAGCAAGAAUUCACUUGGACAACCGGAUCCUUCUACGGCAAAGCUUUUAUUGCUUCAACAUAAGGAAGACCCCGAACCCGGAAAAUGGUGCUGCUUAUAUAGCCCGCAGCGUGACGUUUCAGCACCUGAUGUGGCGUGACAGCACCUGAUUAGUUGCUCGCCCAUCACCCCGUUACUACGCCCCGAGAUGGGCAGUGACUGGUCAUGAAUUCACUCUUGCACUUGCGCAUAAGGCUUGUUUACUAGUUAGGCGCAGUGGAAGCCAGCACCAUCUUAUAAUGGCGAUUGCUCACGGCACGGCUCUCCACAGGCAUGAACUUUCAAUGUCCUUUUAACUGAAUUUUUCACCUACAGUCAUAAUGUGUCUUGGUCUUUCUUAUGCACAUUUGACCUCACCUAUGACUACUCAGAUAUUAUCUCCUUCCUUCCUGUCACAAGCUCUUUCGUGAGUCCUUUCUGCUUCCUUGCCUCUCUUCCAUCUGCCAGCUCACCAAAACUGCACAUCUGUCAACUUCGC
rnacentral:lncRNA from 1 species